rnacentral:rRNA from 1 species
GGGUGCGAUCAUACCAGCAAUAAUGCACCGGAUCCCAUCAGAACUCCGAAGUUAAGUUGCUUGGGCGAGAGCAGUACUAGGUGGGUGACCUCCUGGGAAGUCCUCGUGUUGCACCCUC